CGGCGUCCUGGCUGAUGUGUAAGAAAGGCAGAUUAAUAAAUCACACGCAAAAACGGGGAGAAAAUAGAGAUGGGUAACCCAUUCGUGAAUGCAGUGGAGUGACACUGAUCACCAAAGGCUGGGAAUUGUUUUACACAGCAGCGACAGAGGAAGAAAUAAACCAGAACUUGCCAACAGUAGCAGAGCAGACAAGUCAUAGCAGCAACAGAACAUUGUAUAUGUUAUAUAUAAGAAACAGAUGGUUUGGUUGGUGUUUUACAAUAUCAUAAUCCAACUUUGGGGUUCAGAUAACUUUAUACACAGCCCAGGCUUUGCUUUGUGGUUUAUGACAUCACCUGAACUUUGAGUUUGUGGUGCAGCCUGUAACACACUCCAAGCAACUAUUAUUCAUUUGUAUAAUGUACGUCUUUGUGCCAACUUGUGAAAAUUUGUUUCCUGUCACUCUCAAUGCUGAUGUUGGACGUUCAUUUUUUUGGUACUUUCUGUGAGGAUAGACGUCUCCUGAUUUUCUUACACCCCAAUCCCAAUGUGUCACAUACCACCUAUGGGUGAGACAGGGUGGGGGACCUGUUUUGAACCCACUGCCAAUAUUGUUUUGAGCUGAUACCAACUGAACACUAGCACAAUGGAGGUAGCGAAGGCAUUCCACAUUCCCUGCCAUUAUGCACUUGCUGCUGCAACUUGCUGCAUUAUCUCACCGCCAACAUUACACAGUCACUAUGACACCAAGUUUGUUUCAGAGGAGCUCCUGUGGUGUUGCUCACUGAUUGUUAAGGAUUUGGCACAUAAUUGAUUAGCAGCCAUACCCAAACCUCAUGCUCUGGAAUUUCCUCCCUGAACACCACCAUCUCUCCUCCUUUAACACCUUCAGUAAAACCCACCACUUAGACCCGACCCAAACUGCCUAACCUCUCCUUCUUUGUAAAUCAUCCAUUUUACCCAUGUCUCAAUGAAAGUGCCUUGGGCCUUUUGUUUUCAUGUUAAACGUUAUAAAUAAAUGCAAUUUGUUGCUAUUCAGUA